UACGUAGGGUGCAAGCGUUGUCCGGAAUUAUUGGGCGUAAAGAGCUCGUAGGCGGUUUGUCGCGUCUGCUGUGAAAACUCGGGGCUUAACUCCGGGCCUGCGGUGGGUACGGGCAGACUAGAGUGUGGUAGGGGAGACUGGAAUUCCUGGUGUAGCGGUGAAAUGCGCAGAUAUCAGGAGGAACACCGGUGGCGAAGGCGGGUCUCUGGGCCGUAACUGACGCUGAGGAGCUAAAGCAUGGGGAGCGAACAGG
rnacentral:rRNA from 1 species